rnacentral:rRNA from 1 species
GGUGAGUAACACGUGGAUAACCUACCUAUAAGACUGGGAUAACUUCGGGAAACCGGAGCUAAUACCGGAUAACAUGUUGAACCGCAUGGUUCAACAGUGAAAGACGGUCUUGCUGUCACUUAUAGAUGGAUCCGCGCCGCAUUAGCUAGUUGGUAAGGUAACGGCUUACCAAGGCAACGAUGCGUAGCCGACCUGAGAGGGUGAUCGGCCACACUGUAACUGAGACACGGUCCAG